GCCCUGCUGGCCCAAGGGAUAAGGCGCCACCCUCCUAAGGUUGAGAUUCCGAGUUCGAUCCUCGGGUAGGGUA
rnacentral:tRNA from 1 species